rnacentral:rRNA from 1 species
CAGCAGCAGCCGCGGGAAUACGUAGGGUGCGAGCGUUAAUCGGAAUUACUGGGCGUAAAGCGUGCGCAGGCGGUUUUGUAAGACAGGCGUGAAAUCCCCGGGCUCAACCUGGGAAUGGCGCUUGUGACUGCAAAGCUAGAGUGCGGCAGAGGGGGAUGGAAUUCCGCGUGUAGCAGUGAAAUGCGUAGAUAUGCGGAGGAGCACCGAUGGCGAAGGCAAUCCCCUGGGCCUGCACUGACGCUCAUGCACGAAAGCGUGGGGAGCAAACAGGAUUAGAUACCCGUGUAGUCCCUGUCUCUUAUAC